rnacentral:rRNA from 1 species
CCUACGGGCGGCAGCAGUGAGGAAUAUUGGUCAAUGGCCGAGAGCCUGAACCAGCCAAGUCGCGUGAGGGAAGACGGCCCUACGGAUUGUAAACCUCUUUUGUCGGGGAGCAAAACGCGUCACGCGUAACGCAUUGAGAGUACCCGGAGAAAAAGCAUCGGCUAACUCCGUGCCAGCAGCCGCGGUAAUACGGAGGAUGCGAGCGUUAUCCGGAUUUAUUGGGUUUAAAGGGUGCGCAGGCGGAGGAGUAAGUCAGCGGUAAAAUUGCGGGGCUCAACCCCGUAAUGCCGUUGAAACUGCAUCCCUAGAGUGGGCGAGAAGUAUGCGGAAUGCGUGGUGUAGCGGUGAAAUGCAUAGAUAUCACGCAGAACUCCGAUUGCGAAGGCAGCAUACCGGCGCGCAACUGACGCUCAGGCACGAAAGCGUGGGUAUCGAACAGGAUUAGAUACCCGAGUAGUC